rnacentral:rRNA from 1 species
AAAGCUCAAAUUUGAAAUCUGGUGGCCGAAAGGUUGCCCGAGUUGUAAUUUAGAGAAGUGCUACCCGCGCUGGACCGUGCACAAGUCCUCUGGAAUGGGGCGUCAUAGAGGGUGAGAAUCCCGUCUUUGGUACGGACUCCCAGUGCUUUGUGGUGUGCUCUCGAAGAGUCGAGUUGUUUGGGAAUGCAGCUCAAAAUGGGUGGUAAAUUCCAUCUAAAGCUAAAUAUAGGCGAGAGACCGAUAGCGAA